rnacentral:rRNA from 1 species
GACGAGGUGCACAAACGUUAUUCGGAUUUACUGGGCUUAAAGCGUGCGUAGGCGGCCUGGCAAGUUGGGUGUGAAAUCCCUCGGCUCAACCGAGGAAUUGCGCCCAAAACUGCUAGGCUGGAGUGAGACAGAGGUGAGCGGAACUGAUGGUGGAGCGGUGAAAUGCGUUGAUAUCAUCAGGAACACCGGUGGCGAAGGCGGCUCACUGGGUCUCUACUGACGCUGAGGCACGAAAGCUAGGGGAGCAAACGGG